rnacentral:rRNA from 1 species
GAUGAACGCUGGCGGCGUGCCUAAUACAUGCAAGUCGAGCGAACGGACGAGAAGCUUGCUUCUCUGAUGUUAGCGGCGGACGGGUGAGUAACACGUGGAUAACCUACCUAUAAGACUGGGAUAACUUCGGGAAACCGGAGCUAAUACCGGAUAAUAUUUUGAACCGCAUGGUUCAAAAGUGAAAGACGGUCUUGCUGUCACUUAUAGAUGGAUCCGCGCUGCAUUAGCUAGUUGGUAAGGUAACGGCUUACCAAGGCAACGAUGCAUAGCCGACCUGAGAGGGUGAUCGGCCACACGGGAACUGAGACACGGUCCAGACUCCUACGGGAGGCAGCAGUAGGGAAUCUUCCGCAAUGGGCGAAAGCCUGACGGAGCAACGCCGCGUGAGUGAUGAAGGUCUUCGGAUCGUAAAACUCUGUUAUUAGGGAAGAACAUAUGUGUAAGGAACUGUGCACAGCUUGACGGUACCUAAUCAGAAAGCCACGGCUAACUACGUG